GUGCCAGUGAGAAUAGUGGUUUGAGUGUUGGACUACAAUUCUGGAGAUCAGGGUUCGAUUCCUUGCUUGGCCA
rnacentral:tRNA from 1 species